GGACUACUCGGGUAUCUAAUCCCGUUCGCUCCCCUGGCUUUCGCGCCUCAGCGUCAGUUUUCGUCCAGAAAGCCGCCUUCGCCACUGGUGUUCUUCCUAAUAUCUACGCAUUUCACCGCUACACUAGGAAUUCCGCUUUCCUCUCCGAUACUCUAGCCUACUAGUUUCCAUCCCAUCACGGGGUUGAGCCCCGAACUUUUAAGACAGACUGGAUAGGCCGCCUGCGCGCGCUUUACGCCCAAUAAUUCCGGACAACGCUUGCCACCUACGUAUUACCGCGGCUGCUGGCAC
rnacentral:rRNA from 1 species